GCAAGGUAGCUCAGUUGGUUAGAGCACCGCACUCAUAAUGCGGGGGUCGGCGGUUCAAAUCCGCCCCUUG
rnacentral:tRNA from 1 species